CAGUGUUGGAUACCGUGUAUGACAAACUGUCUUUGAGCAGAAUGGCAGGAAUGUUAGAGGAUCCAUUGGAUGCAGGUCUAUGUACUUUCGGAGGAAAUGCUACUGCCACUGUCUAGCCCAUAUUCAUUGGCAGAGUGAGAGAACUUUCUGAGUGUUUCUGAGGAGAACAAGCUGGGAAUGGAAUAGAGCAGAAUGCAUGUGGUCUGUUCACUUUGAUGAAAGUAGAUAUGUAAACAAUAUAAUAUACAGUAUGUAUGCUACUUGAUAUGUGAACAGUAUUCACUGUGUGCACGUGAACUUUCAUGUGAGCUUUGUUGCUGUUGUUGUAGAUGUUGUUGUUGUUGUUGUCGUUAUUAUUGUUACUCAUUUUCCCUGUUGAAGGCUUUGCAACAGUAUGAUUUUUAAUGCUGAAAUAGCUCACAAGCUCACAAGCUUUCCUUUCCUUUUUCUAUAGUGUAGGCCUACUGCUAAAGAACACUUUACCACAUUCAUAUUUUAUAGAGAUCACAACCCAAUUCAGUAUUAUACAGUAUUAUCGUACAUUGUGUAUGUCAUUG